rnacentral:rRNA from 2 species
UACGUAGGGUGCGAGCGUUAAUCGGAAUUACUGGGCGUAAAGCGUGCGUAGGCGGUCUCGCAAGCUGGGUGUGAAAUCCCCGGGCUCAACCUGGGAAUGGCAUUCAGGACUGCGAGGCUGGAGUGCGGCAGAGGGAGGUGGAAUUCCACGUGUAGCAGUGAAAUGCGUAGAGAUGUGGAGGAACACCGAUGGCGAAGGCAGCCUCCUGGGCCGACACUGACGCUCAAGCACGAAAGCGUGGGGAGCAAACAGG